UUUCCUGAUGAAUAAGAGCACUGCUCGAAAUUAACCCAGCUCGUUGAGUGCCCUCAUUAAAAGGAUACUCACAAUCCGAGGGCACCUUGAGAAAAAAAGUUAUAUGCUGAAAA
rfam:Penicillium expansum strain MD-8 contig90, whole genome shotgun sequence.